CCAUUUUCUAUCGAGCCUUUCUUCUCCCUCAGAAAGAAAUAACCUAGGGUUUCUUAUCAGUCGCUAUUUUCAGCUCCAUUGAAAGGCCUUCUCUCCCAUUUCCUUUCUUCUUCGCUUAACAUAUAUUGGGUUGUGAAGAUUUUCCACCAUAGCAAGUUUUCUCAUGUCAGAAAGUAGUUAUUUAUCAAAGAGGAGGUGCCAUUGUGGGGAAAUUGCCAAUCACUUCACUUCAACGACUCCAUUUAAUCUCGGAAGGAGAUUCUUUAAGUGCCCUAAACCUGAUAUAAGCUUGUGCGGUUAUUGGGAAUGGCAAGAUGAUGUGUUACCAGAUCGAGCGGUCAUUACAAUUAACAAUAUGAAUUACAAAUAGGAUGCCGCUAAUGUUAAACUCAACAAUAUGAAGUCGACGUUGGAUGCGAUUAUUCUUGAAAGGGACAGAUUAAAGGAAAGAGUAGAUAACUUGAAGGCUUUAAAGAAUUCGGAAGCGAACAAAGCCCGUAAAUUGGAAGAGAAAGUCCUAAAUAUGAAGAUCGUCAUUAUGAUUUCAUGGGCAAUAUUUAUGGGAUUUGUUGCUGCAAUGCUAAUGAAGUGAAGUUGAUAUAUAAAGUGCAACUUUUCAUGUUUUUGUAUUGGUACUUAAAGUUGUAAACAAUGAAGUGUUUUAGGUCUGAUAUUGACCCUUAACCGUUAGGUAAAUAUGUAAUUGGUAAGAAAACUGUUUGUCUGAGAUUUCAACUCAAAGGAACAUUUGAAAUAGCCUACUA